rnacentral:rRNA from 1 species
AGUGGCGAACGGGUGAGUAACACGUAAGAAUUUACCUUUAGGAGGGGGAUAACAACUGGAAACGGUUGCUAAUACCCCAUAGGCUUUCGAGUGAAAUGGAUUUUUCCGCCUAGAGAGAAGCUUGCGGCUGAUUAGCUUGUUGGUGAGGUAAUGGCUUACCAAGGCGACGAUCAGUAUCUGGUUUGAGAGGACGAUCAGACACACUGGAACUGAGACACGGUCCAGACUCCUACGGGAGGCAGCAGUGGGGAAUUUUCCGCAAUGGGCGAAAGCCUGACGGAGCAAUCUCGCGUGAGGGAUGACGGCCUAUGGGUUGUAAACCUCUUUUUUCAGGGAGGAACAAAAUGACGUGUACCUGAAGAAUAAGCAUCGGCUAACUCCGUGCCAGCAGCCGCGGUAAGACGGAGGAUGCAAGUGUUAUCCGGAAUCACUGGGCGUAAAGCGUCUGUAGGUGGUUUACUAAGUCAACUGUUAAAUCUUGAAGCUCAACUUCAAAAUCGCAGUCGAAACUAGUAGACUAGAGUAUAGUAGGGGUAAAGGGAAUUUCCAGUGGAGCGGUGAAAUGCGUAGAGAUUGGAAAGAACACCGAUGGCGAAGGCACUUUACUGGGCUAUUACUGACACUCAGAGACGAAAGCUAGGGUAGCAAAUGGGAUUAGAUACCCC